GAGCUACUUCCUCCGUCCGGAAAUACUUGUCGGAGAAAUGGAGUCCGUCCGGAAAUACUUGUCGGAGAAAUGGAUGUAUCUAGACGUAUUUUAGUUCUAGAUACAUUCAUUUCCAUCCAUUUCUAUGACAAGUAAUUCUGGACAGAGGGAGUACUUA
rnacentral:pre_miRNA from 1 species